rnacentral:rRNA from 1 species
UACGGAAGGCAGCAGUGGGGAAUAUUGCACAAUGGGCGAAAGCCUGAUGCAGCUAUGCCGCGUGUAUGAAGAAGGCCUUAGGGUUGUAAAGUACUUUCAUCGGGGAGGAAAAAACAAAACUAAUAAUUUUAUUUCUUGACGUUACCCGAAAAAGAAGCACCGGCUAACUCCGUGCCAGCAGCCGCGGUAAUACGGAGGGUGCUAGCGUUAAUCAGAAUUACUGGGCGUAAAGAGCACGUAGGUGGUUUUUUUAAGUCAGAUGUGAAAUCCCUGGGCUUAACCUAGGAACUGCAUUUUGAAACUGAAAUACUAGAGUAUCGUAGAGGGAGGUAGAAUUCUAGGUGUAGCGGUGAAAUGCGUAGAUAUCUGGAGGAAUACCUGUGGCGAAAGCGGCCUCCUAAACGAAUACUGACACUGAGGUGCGAAAGCGUUGGGGAGCAAACGAGGAUUAGAUACC